rnacentral:rRNA from 1 species
AACAGGAUUAGAUACCCUGGUAGUCCACGCCCUAAACGAUGUCUACUAGUUGUCGGGUCUUAAUUGACUUGGUAACGCAGCUAACGCGUGAAGUAGACCGCCUGGGGAGUACGGUCGCAAGAUUAAAACUCAAAGGAAUUGACGGGACCCGCACAAGCGGUGGAUGAUGUGGAUUAAUUCGAUGCAACGCGAAAAACCUUACCUACCCUUGACAUGUACAGAAUCCCGAAGAGAUUUGGGAGUGUUCGAAAGAAAACUGUAACACAGGUGCUGCAUGGCUGUCGUCAGCUCGUGUCGUGAGAUGUUGGGUUAAGUCCCGCAACGAGCGCAACCCUUGUCAUUAGUUGCUACGAAAGGGCACUCUAAUGAGACUGCCGGUGACAAACCGGAGGAAGGUGGGGAUGACGUCAAGUCCUCAUGGCCCUUAUGGGUAGGGCUUCACACGUCAUACAAUGGUACAUACAGAGGGCCGCCAACCCGCGAGGGGGAGCUAAUCCCAGAAAGUGUAUCGUAGUCCGGAUUGUAGUCUGCAACUCGACUACAUGAAGUUGGAAUCGCUAGUAAUCGCGGAUCAGCAUGUCGCGGUGAAUACGUUCCCGGGUCUUGUACACACCGCCCGUCACACCAUGGGAGCGGGUUUUACCAGAAGUAGGUAGCCUAACCGUAAGGAGGGCGCUUACCACGGUAGGAUUCGUGACUGGGGUGAAGUCGUAACAAGGUAGCCGUA